rnacentral:lncRNA from 1 species
AGCAUCGAGGACAGAAGUGACAGGGCUCGGCCAGGCAGGCAGGGGAUGGCAAAAGUGGGACUCAGCGCGCGGCUGCCCCUCCCCACUCUCUCUGUUUCAGGGGCUGGAGAAAAAGGAAAUCCAAGCUGAGAGUGGACGCAGAGGAGAAGGCGCGAGCUGUGAUUCGGGAAGAAUUCCAGAACCUGGGUCCCAUCAAGUUCGCGGAACAGGCCGUUUUCAUCCUGUUCUGCACGUUCGCCAUCCUCCUCUUCUCCCGGGACCCGAAGUUCAUCCCUGGCUGGGCCAGCCUCUUCCCCGCCGGAUGCAUAAUGGAUGCUAUAAGCAUUUCAAUGAUACAGAGAAAGUGAAAAAUAACUCCGAAUCUCAACCCCCAGUUCUGAUAGACAUCUUUUCUGACUUUCAGUAAAGCCCGACCAGAUCU